rnacentral:rRNA from 1 species
CCAGACUCCUACGGGAGGCAGCAGUGGGGGAUAUUGCACAAUGGGGGCAACCCUGAUGCAGCGACGCCGCGUGAGCGAUGGAGUACUUCGGUAUGUAAAGCUCUGUCAGCAGGGAAGAGAAUGACGGUACCUGACCAAGAAGCCCCGGCUAACUACGUGCCAGCAGCCGCGGUAAUACGUAGGUGGCAAGCGUUGUCCGGAUUUACUGGGUGUAAAGGGCGUGUAGCCGGGUUGACAAGUCAGAUGUGAAAUCCUGCGGCUUAACCGCAGAACUGCAUUUGAAACUGUUGAUCUUGAGUACUGGAGAGGCAGACGGAAUUCCUAGUGUAGCGGUGAAAUGCGUAGAUAUUAGGAGGAACACCAGUGGCGAAGGCGGUCUGCUGGACAGCAACUGACGGUGAGGCGCGAAAGCGCGGGGAGCAAACAGGAUUAGAUACCCUUGUAU